rnacentral:misc_RNA from 1 species
GGCUGAUUGAAUUUAUCAAUAAGGGCACCUCUGUCACCCCCACAAGUAUGUCCAUCCAAGCGAAGGUACUUAUAUUGCUUCCAGCAGAGAUAAUCUUCCAUUACAUCAAGCAGCCUGGUCAUUGUUGAGAAGAGCAAGACCCGGUGAUCUGUUGCCUUAAGUUUAGGCAGUAAUCUGUCCAACAUCUCAAGCUUCCCACAAAU